rnacentral:lncRNA from 1 species
UUCUAGGCGGUUAAGUUUGGAUGUUGCAUACGAUGUGUGAGUUAUAGGAGUUGAUUCGAUCCUCCCCAUACCCUCCCGCGUCAAUAUAUGUAAUGAAAUUGAACAUAUGUUGUAAUCUCCUCGUAAGUAUGGUUUAGUUAUUAUGGGUGCACAACAUCUUUAAAAUCAUAUAAUUACUCAAGGAACAUAUAUAUUAUGUAAGACAUGAGGU